CCCACCCUACCCCUCUGCACCACUACUCACUGCAGCAGAAUCCUGGAUGGCCUUCCACCCAAAUAAGGUCAGGGUUAUGUAUCCCGUCCCUUCCAUCAGGAGGACCCUCUACUGACACACCAGCAAAUGCAGGCUCUUCGGUGAUUCACGGCUCAUUUAUCAGCUUAUUUAUUUGGUCUUUUGAAGCCUGGACAAUCAGUUCCUCACAUUGCAGCCUGUAAGCAGAAGGGGCACGAAGCCAUUUGAAACUCAACAGCAAAUGUAUCCUUUCCCAGAUGGCAAGAGCCCUUCACUUCCCGAGGAAUAAAGGCUGUCUCCAUUUCCGAGGUGCCCUGGGACCCCAGCAGCCUGCAGAGCCCCUGCAAUGCAGGAGGUAGAAGCAGCUGUGUGGGUCUGAUGUCCUCCCAGCUGCACCCCAUGCCCGGGACAGCCCCAGUCUCCCUCCCUCACUUGUGUGACACUUGGGAACUGGGUUGGGCUGGUUGGUUUGCUUACUGUGUGAGGCGUCUGCACUCCUGGAGCCAAGCUUCCUAUUGCACGUCCAUAUUUGGAACCCGCCCGCCUGCCUUCCUGCAGAACACCGUGUACCGCUGCCUCUGCCUGGCGUCACCCCACGUCCCACAACACACCAGGAACAGCCUGUGGCAGAAGAACAAGCCCCUUGUCUCAGCUGAUCCCUCCCAGACACCGGCAGAGCCCUGACAAGUGAACCCCCUGCUCUUAUCUGCUGCGGCCAUCUGCUUCUGGCCUCUGCAGCUUGGAGGUGUGGUUCUGGAAGGAUUCCUUUCUUCUGGUGAACCGGCUCAUGCCUUCAGCUGCUGUGUCCACUGCUGGACUGAGAAGGGUGUGUCUGAGCACCAUGGCCCUGAGUGUCGCUAACAGGGAUGGCUUUUCACAGCAUAAGGCUAGAAGACCGGGCUGAGAGAAGGACAUCCCAGGACCCGCAGGAGCGAGGGUGACAAAGGUGAGGGGAAGGGGCAGAGCCACACAGGUGAUCGGAAGUGACCCUGAAAGAACCAAUAGGAAGGGGAUAUUUAUGUGACCUGGAAGUGUCCCUGCAGACUGCCCCUUCUUUACUUGCAAGAGAGAAAAUUCUACCUUAUGGAGUGGAAGAACAUGAUGGACCCUAAGCAGGUGACCAAAUCUAACAUCAGCCUCUUCGGGCUUCAGGCAUCCAACACUUCUGCAAAUGACUGAGGCACACAGUGUCACUCUUGUAACAUUCCAGCUCAGAGGGAGGUCAGAGCCCAGUGUGAGCCUGAGGAGAACAGGACACACCCCACUGAAGGAAUGGUCUGUAAAAUAACUCAUCUAUUUCUUCUCAAGUUCCAGAGUUACAGAUGUAAACGAAAGGAAAGCUGCCUGGUAUGAUGGUCUGCAUCUAUGAUCCCAGCACCCAGAAAGACCAUGAGUUCAAGGCCAGCCUGGGCUACAUGAUCAUUCUGUCUCUAACACAAACCAACAAAUAAAUGACAAACCCAACUAACAAAACAAAUGGGGGAAGUAUAAUAAAAACCGCUAAAGCAGA